rnacentral:rRNA from 1 species
GAUGAACGCUAGCGGCAGGCUUAAUACAUGCAAGUCGUGGGGCAGCACAGGUAGCAAUACUGGGUGGCGACCGGCAAACGGGUGCGGAACACGUACGCAACCUUCCUUUAAGUGGGGGAUAGCCCCAGGGGAAACUUGGAUUAAUACCCCUUAACAUUAUGAGAUGGCAUCAUUUUAUAAUUAAAGCUCCGGCGCUUAAAGAUGGGCGUGCGCCUGAUUAGGUAGUUGGCGGGGUAACAGCCCACCAAGCCUACGAUCAGUAACUGGUGUGAGAGCACGACCAGUCACACGGGCACUGAGACACGGGCCCGACUCCUACGGGUGGCAG